CGCCCGCCCGACCUGGGCGCACGCGCACUUGCCCCUCUCCCACAGAGGUGCCUCGGUAACAGAUGGAGCAAUCAUUCUCGUCUUUCCGCCAGAAGGCCCUCGCUGCUCCCGGGACCGCUCGGUGGUUGUAAGACACAUAAUUAGAUACGUCAGCGGACAAUGCGGCGGAUUAGCCGAGGAGGGCUGGCGACUCGAGCCUUCCGGAGCCUUCCCCACCAAUCCGCGCGGGGCGGUCACCAGCAAGGAUCCCCGCUCCUGGAGGCAGGAUGAUUGACAAACUGAGCCAUUUCCAGCGACCGGUCCCCUGCGGAGGGUCUGCGCUCAGUGCAGGACCGACGCCUUGAGACAGGAGUUGUGUCAACGGUGGAUGGCUGUGCCCUAGUCACUUGAGAGACAUGAAUCAAUUUCCCAGCUGUAUUUAUCACUCACUGCUUUAAAUCAAGUCUAAUCAAUGCUUCCUUCACUUGGCUAUGGGCUGAAAAACUACAGAGCAUGCUCAGAAGACAGGUGGGACCCAUUUGGAUUGCAAGCAUCCUCUUGGGAGUUUGUUAAAUCCUAACCAAACACUUAGAGAUGUCUUUGUGAAACUCAACUUGAAUUUACCUGUAACAGACAUAAGUCCUGUUAUUUAGGGAGAGUUCUACCCCAUAAAAUCUUCUGCAAUUAACA